rnacentral:rRNA from 1 species
AGAUUGAACGCUGGCGGCAUGCCUUACACAUGCAAGUCGAACGGCAGCACGGGAGCAAUCCUGGUGGCGAGUGGCGAACGGGUGAGUAAUACAUCGGAACGUGCCCAAUCGUGGGGGAUAACGCAGCGAAAGCUGUGCUAAUACCGCAUAAGAUCUACGGAUGAAAGCAGGGGAUCGCAAGACCUUGCGCGAAUGGAGCGGCCGAUGGCAGAUUAGGUAGUUGGUGAGGUAAAGGCUCACCAAGCCUUCGAUCUGUAGCUGGUCUGAGAGGACGACCAGCCACACUGGGACUGAGACACGGCCCAGACUCCUACGGGAGGCAGCAGUGGGGAAUUUUGGACAUGGCGAAAGCCUGAUCCAGCCAUGCGCGUGCAGGAUGAAGGCCUUCGGUUGUAACUGCUUUUGUACGGAACGAAAGUCUACUUUAUAAUAAGAGGAUCAUGACGUAACGUAAGAAUAAGCAACCGCUAAC